AAAUAGUGAAAACAAGCACAAAAACAGAGGC
rnacentral:piRNA from 1 species